CAAUUUUGCCAAAAUGAAAGUUUGUGGAAUGGGCCACUUUAUGAUGUAAUAGUGUGGCUAAACUCUGCCUCCGCAGAGGCAGCGCCUGGUUCUACAUCACUGCCUGUUUAGCUCCGCCCAUCGAUUUUUGCACAUAAUUCAUUUACAAACAAGGCGCAUUUCGAUGCAGGAUUUUCAAAAAGAUUGAAACUAAGAGAGAUGCUGUGCUUAAUAUAUUGGAUCCGACUGUAAUGUCACACCACACAAGUGUGAGUAACUGUUUUUAUUACAUGGUCAUUAUUGCUUUGUCUGUUAUUCAGUGGGUAUUUAUGCAUUUUUAACCUAAAACCUAACAGCAGCGUCCAUUUAUGAAGGAUGUAGGCUGUCAAAUAUACAUAACUCCAAGUUUACAAUCCGCCACGCCUAUUCAAACGGUGCGUUCCAAUGAGGAGGGGUCAAAACAGGACAGAAAAUAGCCUAUUACAUCUAAAUUAUGAUGAUUUUGAUGUAAAAAAUAUAACAUUGUAAGUGGACCUAAGAGAGCAGUACAAAAUAAAAAACAAAGGUAGUUCAUGACCACUUUAAUGUUUUACAGAUUGGCAUUGAACCUGGAAUAUUCACUUUAAAAUUCAUGCAAAAAUUAUCAUCUGUUUCUGCAUUUAGCUAUCUCUACCUGACAUGGUUCCAUUUUUCUUCAAGGUACAUGGGAAAUCUAGGUUAGUUUUUUUUUCCGAUGUACUGAUUUUUCUCCUUUUUAUGGAAAAAAUGAUCGCAUCAUGAAGUGAAAAUCCCUGGAGGUUACAACACAUUUUAAAAAAAUGCUUAUUGUCAGAAAGACACGGAGGCUCUGGAAUACAUCUGAGGAGACUCCGCAUGUCUGACAUAAAGCUCCACUCAGGACGUGAUGUACUAUACCCAGGUGUAGCACUCUUGCUAAUUCUUGUCAUCGAAUGGUUCUAAAUAUCCCUCUGUUUGCACAAGCAGCUUGAAACAGCCAAAGGAAAGACAACAGAGACAACAAAUGGAAAGAAUUCAGCGUUCAGAUCUUUAGACAAAAACAGAUGCUUUAAAUCUCCACAGCUGAGAGACUCCAGGAGAAAGUACACAACUAACCUUUCAGAGAAAUAUUUAUGUCUCUUUUGGUAUCAUUAUUUGUUUAUUCAUUUCUUCUUUCAUUCAGCCCACUCGUCAUUCAACAAAAAAUGAUGAACAAUAUACAGAAUAAAACUGGUGUUCAUCUUUGCCAUAUUAAAUAAAGGUUACAGAUGCAUUAUGUGUUUUAGAAAAAAGUCAGACUAGUGCAAAACAGCUCAAAGAGUUGCUUGGGCAUUGUUUACAAAAACAGCAAAAUUAUGAAACAAGUCAAAGGGAACAUUCUCAAGAAUGCUGAAUGAAUGCCAUGUAUGAAAACCUCAGAAAUUACAAAAGAAUUGACUAAACC
ensembl:lncRNA